AACCACAAUGCCAAUAACAACUAGUUUUUGUAGCCAAAGAGAGAACAACAUUGUUGUUCUCUUUUAGUGGCGACAAAAGCUAGUUGUUAUUUUACAUUUGU